rnacentral:rRNA from 1 species
ACGUACACUCCUACGGGAGGCAGCAGUGGGGAAUAUUGGACAAUGGGCGCAAGCCUGAUCCAGCCAUGCCGCGUGAGUGAUGAAGGCCCUAGGGUUGUAAAGCUCUUUCACCGGUGAAGAUAAUGACGGUAACCGGAGAAGAAGCCCCGGCUAACUUCGUGCCAGCAGCCGCGGUAAUACGAAGGGGGCUAGCGUUGUUCGGAUUUACUGGGCGUAAAGCGCACGUAGGCGGACUAUUAAGUCAGGGGUGAAAUCCCGGGGCUCAACCCCGGAACUGCCUUUGAUACUGGUAGUCUUGAGUGCGAGAGAGGUGAGUGGAAUUCCGAGUGUAGAGGUGAAAUUCGUAGAUAUUCGGAGGAACACCAGUGGCGAAGGCGGCUCACUGGCUCGAUACUGACGCUGAUGUGCGAAAGCGUGGGGAGCAAACAGGAUUAGAAACCCCUGUAGUCC